UCACAGCAUGAGCUGAUAUUCACAAAGCAGGAUAGCUUUCCUUGGGCUGCAGAUGUUCCUACUUUUGCCAGUGCCUUCUCUUUCUUUCAGAUGGAAAGAGUCUCCAGAGAUGUCACUUUUUUUAAGAUGUAUUCUUGUCCUGGCUUCCACUGUAUGGAAUUUGUGGCAGCUAUGAGAUCAGCUGGCAUGUCACUGCAUGGUGGCAGGAACCUCUGAGAAGAUGAGGGUGCCCAGGUGGAUCCUGACUUUCCUUUCAUGAGAGACAAAUCCAGGAAGACCUCCAGCUUUCUCCUUUCCCCUUUCCUGGAUGUUUCCUUCAGUGCUAAUCCAAAAAACUGUGAUGAAAGGAGAAGAGUGACCUGGAGAAAGUAACACAAUGCACCUGAAACUGGAACAAUGCAUCUUAGACAUACUAUUCACGUUUGAAAUGGAAAUAAAUAUGUCUGUGGUGAGUUUAUAACAAGUUUGCCGCCCUUUUUCAUCAUUACAAUAAUUU